ACUUCUGUCACCACCUUUAUCUCUUCUUCUCUCUAGCCUACAUAUACGCACAUUCACAUCUAUAUAUGCAUACAUCUAUAAUUAUAUAGAUAUACACAUUCACAUCUAUGCGUAAUACUAACAUGGGUGCAUAUAUAUCACAUACUUUAGGCGACUUAUAAGUUUAACAUUAUACAUUCUUCAUCAUUGCCGGUGUUUCAAGAAGCUUCAAUGGCAAAAAAAAAAAACACAAUCGCGAUGAUGCUAUCAAACAUGAUUAUUGUACUCAGAUCUUCUAAACAAAAUUCAACGACAAUCCUCUGAGAUUCAGCCUUUGAGCAAAGAUUCAGCUAUAGAUUAAGAAAAGAAUUGUCUACAAACAAAGUUCAACAAUAAUCUUGGAUAUGUAAAUUUUGCAUUAGUCAUGCACACACAUAACAAUGUUAAAAUCGAUCUUUGGAUUCGACCAACAUAACAAAUACAAUUUGUUUAUUUGGUA
rnacentral:precursor_RNA from 1 species